rnacentral:rRNA from 1 species
GACGAACGCUGGCGGCGUGCCUAAUACAUGCAAGUCGAGCGGACGGAUGGGAGCUUGCUCCCAGACCGUCAGCGGCGGACGGGUGAGUAACACGUGGGCAACCUGCCUGUAAGCCUGGGAUAACUCCGGGAAACCGGGGCUAAUACCGGAUAACUCUUUCCCUCACAUGAGGGAAAGCUGAAAGAUGGCAUCUCGCUAUCACUUACAGAUGGGCCCGCGGCGCAUUAGCUAGUUGGUGAGGUAACGGCUCACCAAGGCGACGAUGCGUAGCCGACCUGAGAGGGUGAUCGGACACACUGGGACUGAGGCACGGCCCAGACUCCUACGGGAGGCAGCAGUCGCGAAUCUUCCGCAAUGGACGAAAGUCUGACGGAGCAACGCCGCGUGAGUGAUGAAGGUUUUCGGAUCGUAAAAAUCUGUUGUCAGGGAAGAACAAGUACCGGAGUAACUGCCGGUACCUUGACGGUAACUGGCCAGAAAGCCACGGCUAACUACGUG